ensembl:snRNA U7 U7 small nuclear RNA
CAGUGUUACAGCUGUUUUUGAAUUUGUCUAGCAGGCUUUCCAGUUUGUACUGUAAAGCACUU